GCUCCAGUGGCGCAAUCGGUUAGCGCGCGGUACUUAUAAGACAGUGCACGUGUGAGCAAUGCCGAGGUUGUGAGUUCAAGCCUCACCUGGAGCA
rnacentral:tRNA from 1 species